GCUAAAAUUAUAUGAAUCUAAGUAACCGCGAAUAAGGACCAAAAAAGCCAAAAAAAAGUAUUCCUGCUACUGCAUAGACAAACACAAAUAGUUUCCAAAAACAGCUUCAUUAGGAAUGAAAAAACAACAUAAAUGGUAAUUUACAAACAUUCAUUUAAGGCCGAAAAAAUACCAAUUUGCUGAAUUUAGCAGGCGGACAGGGAUGACCACAGACGGACGGAGGCAAACCAUCAGCGAGAUGCACAUGGUUGAGACUGAAAUGAGAUGCAACGCAAACACAUAGUGGAUAGGGAACACAUCAGAACAGGAUGAUUACAGACAAACCAAGCACUACAUGGCCACAACAGAGCAGGAGCCAGACAGUGGCUGAGGUGAUUAUGCAGAUCUCAACAGUAACUGUCACGACCCAAUUCCUGGUCAUGACUGCCGCACAGGCUACC
rnacentral:lncRNA from 1 species